rnacentral:rRNA from 1 species
UCGAGGAUCUUUGGCAAUGGGCGCAAGCCUGACCAAGCGACGCCGCGUGUGCGAUGAAGGCCUUCGGGUUGUAAAGCACUGUCGAGGGGGAUAAAAGCCGCAAGGCUUGAUAGAUCCCUGGAGGAAGCACGGGCUAAGUUCGUGCCAGCAGCCGCGGUAAGACGAACCGUGCGAACGUUGUUCGGAAUCACUGGGCUUAAAGGGCGCGUAGGCGGCUUGCCAAGUCAGGGGUGAAAUCCUGCAGCUCAACUGUAGAAGUGCCUUUGAUACUGGCGAGCUCGAGGGAGGUAGGGGUGGGUGGAACUUCUGGUGGAGCGGUGAAAUGCGUUGAUAUCAGAAGGAACGCCGGUGGCGAAAGCGACCCACUGGAUCUCUACUGACGCUGAGGCGCGAAAGCUAGGGGAGCAAACGGG